rnacentral:rRNA from 1 species
GAACGCUGGCGGCGUGCCUAACACAUGCAAGUCAAGGGUAAUUUGUAGCAAUAUGAAUUACACUGGCGUAAGGGUGAGUAACACGUAGGUAAUCUGCCCCUAUCACCGUAAUAACAGUUCUAACGGGCUGCUAAUGGCGGAUGAGGCGAGAGAUCGUCAAAGCGAUAGCGGAUAGGGAUGAGCCUGCGUCCGAUUAGGUAGUUGGUAGGGUAAUGGCCUACCAAGCCAACGAUCGGUAGCUGGUCUGAGAGGACGAACAGCCACACUGGAACUGAGACACGGUCCAGACUCCUACGGGAGGCAGCAGUGAGGAAUAUUGGUCAAUGGACGCAAGUCUGAACCAGCGACGCCGCGUGCGGGAUGAAGGGGCUUAGCCUCGUAAACCGCUGUCAAGAGGGACGAGAGGACGAUUAUGUCGUCUGGGACGGUACCUCUGAAGGAAGGAUCGGCUAACUACGUGCCAGCAGCCGCGGUAAUACGUAGGAUCCGAGCGUUGUCCGGAAUUACUGGGCGUAAAGGGUGCGUAGGCGGCAAUGUGCGUCAGAGGUGAAAUCCACGGGCUUAACUUGUGGGGCGCCUUUGAUACGGCAUAGCUUGAGUACGAGAGAGGUCGAUGGAAUUCCUGGUGUAGCAGUGAAAUGCGUAGAUAUCAGGAGGAACACCGGUGGCGAAGGCGGUCGGCUGGCUCGUAACUGACGCUGAGGCACGAAAGCGUGGGGAUCAAACAGGAUUAGAUACCCUGGUAGUCCACGCCAUAAACGAUGUAUGCUUGGUGUUGGGCGAGAAAUCGCUCAGUGCCGAAGGCAACCUGAUAAGC